rnacentral:rRNA from 1 species
AGAGUUUGAUCCUGGCUCAGGACGAACUCUGGCGGCAUGCUUAACACAUGCAAGUCUACUUGAAUAUCGAAGCUUGCUUUGAUAGGAUGGUGGCGAACGGGUGAGUAACGCGUAGAUAAUCUGCCCUUCAGGCAGGGAUAAUCUCUGGAAACGGAGACUAAUACCUGAUAGUAUCCUUUGGUGGCAUCACUAAUGGAUUAAAUAUCUAGAAUCGCUGAAGGAUGAAUCUGCGUGUCAUUAGCUAGUUGGUAGGGUAAAAGCCUACCAAGGCAACGAUGACUAGCUGGUCUGAGAGGAUGAUCAGCCACACUGGGACUGAGAUACGGCCCAGACUCCUACGGGAGGCAGCAGUGAGGAAUAUUGCACAAUGGGGGCAACCCUGAUGCAGCAAUGCCGCGUGAGUGAAGAAUCAGUUAAUCUGUGUAAAGCUCUGUUGAUUGGGACGAAAUGUAAGGUUAGCAGCCUUAUUUGACGGUACCAAUCGAGGAAGCUCCGGCUAACUCCGUGCCAGCAGCCGCGGUAAUACGGGGGGAGCGAGCGUUGUCCGGAUUCAUUGGGCGUAAAGGGCAUGUAGGUGGGUCUUUAAGUCAGUUGUUAAAUCUUACGGCUUAACCGUGAAUGGCAAUUGAUACUGAAGAUCUUGAGUGCGAGAGGGGACGGUAGAAUAUCUAGUGUAGCGGUGGAAUGCGUAGAUAUUAGAUAGAAUACCUGAGGCGAAGGCGACCGUCUGGCUCGUAACUGACACUGAAAUGCGAAAGCAUGGGUAGCAAACAGGAUUAGAUACCCUGGUAGUCCAUGCCGUAAACGAUGGGUACUAGCUGUCGGAGGACUAACCCCUUCGGUGGCGGAGCUAACGCAUUAAGUACCCCGCCUGGGGAGUACGAUCGCAAGGUUGAAACUCAAAGGAAUUGACGGGGGCCCGCACAAGCGGUGGAGCAUGUGGUGUUUAAUUCGAUGCAACGCGAAGAACCUUACCUGGGCUUGAACUGUAGUUGCCCACUCCAGAGAUGGAGCUUUUCCAGCAAUGGAACAACUAUAGAGGUGCUGCAUGGCUGUCGUCAGCUCGUGUCGUGAGAUGUUGGGUUAAGUCCCGCAACGAGCGCAACCCUUAUUACUAGUUGCCAGCGCGUUAUGGCGGGGACUCUAGUGAGACUGCCCGGGUUAACCGGGAGGAAGGUGGGGAUGGCUUCAAGUCCUCAUGGCCUUUAUGUCCAGGGCUACACACGUGCUACAUGGGUGGUACAAAGCGCGGCUACAUCGCAAGAUGAUGCGAAUCGCUAAAACCAUUCUCAGUUCGGAUUGUAGUCUGCAACUCGACUGCAUGAAGUUGGAAUCGCUAGUAAUCGCGGAUCAGCAUGCCGCGGUGAAUACGUUCCCGGGCCUUGUACACACCGCCCGUCACACCAUGGAAGUUGAUAGUGCUCGACUCAGCUGGUCUAACCCUUCGGGGAGGAAGGCUGUUAAAGCAAGAUUGAUAACUAGGGUGAAGUCGGAACAAGGUA